GACGAACGCUGGCGGCGUGCCUAACACAUGCAAGUCGAACGAAGAAUGUUUUUCGGAAUAUUCUUAGUGGCGGACGGGUGAGUAACGCGUGAACAAUCUGCCCCGUACAAAGGGAUAGCCUCGGGAAACCGGGAUUAAAAACCAUAUAACGCUUUAGUACCGCAUGGUAAUAAAGUCAAAUCGAUUAAGAGGUAUGGGAUGAGUUCGCGUCUGAUUAGCUAGUUGGUGAGGUAAGGGCUCACCAAGGCGACGAUCAGUAGCCGGCCUGAGAGGGUGAACGGCCACACUGGAACUGAGACACGGUCCAGACUCCUACGGGAGGCAGCAGUGGGGAAUAUUGCACAAAUGGAGGGAACUCUGAUGCAGCGACGCCGCGUGAGUGAAGAAGGUCUUCGGAUCGUAAAAACUCUGUCCUUGGUGAAGAAAAGGACGGUAGCCAAGGAGGAAAGCCCGGCUAACUACGUG
rnacentral:rRNA from 1 species